ensembl:lncRNA
AUUACAAUUUGAAAUGUCUGUUUAGGGUUGUGUGGCUAUUGAAGUUUCCUAGGAGAGAAUGGUUAAACUUUUCAAGAAGUCUGUCUUUUUCUUGUGACAUCUCGGAUCUCAGGACAAUUCUUCUGGAAUGCAGCACUCUGGGAAUGUUCCCGAGAUGGAUUGAAGAAUGACAAGAGGCCUGGAUUGCACAUCACAAGUGUCAGAAGGAUCUGACCAGCAUCCAGCCCUACCACGAUAGGUGCUGCUCGGUGGAAAAGCACGAGCCAUGGAUAACCUGUACACGUGCCUCACGAGAGAGAUAGCCUCCUUCCAGGACCAUGUCCAGCAAUGCAAACACUCCUUCAACAUGGACGCUCUUCACCCAGCCUUGAGUGCCCUAACCACAAAGCAGCAGGAUGAAAUCCACACCUUGGAGCAGUUGCGGGUUCUCCUCUCCAAGGUUCAAGAGGAGCCUGCGGUGGCAGUCAGUGGCUACAGCGACUCGGAAAUAAAGCGUUGCAUCACCUGGCUUCUCUCUUUCGUGGAAUAUCUCGGCGCCAUGAAAGAGACCUUUGAUGAGAAAGUGGUAGUCCCUCUCUGCGAGAACCUGUACGUAACUGAGGAAGAUGAGAGCACUGUCGCUUCUUCUGAUCAGACUGUACCUUUCACCUCUGACCCUCAAAGCCCGCCCCAUACAUCUGUGACUAAGGUGGCCAAUGAGCUCCUUGUUCUCCGACGCAGAUGGGCUUUGAUGCUCGCCCCUGGUCCAAUCAAGGCAGAGAACUUCAGACUACUGACCAAUACUGAUGGGGCUGAGCGGUUCACUAAGCGGUUCGCCAAGGUCCAAUGGCUUGUACCAGAUAUCCUCUAUAAGAGCUCUAGGGCUGCUCAACUUGCCUAUCAGUGGGUGAACCUGCACCAGUGUGGGCACAGGGGUAGAAGAGUAGGGGCCAGUGGGUUGGAGGUUACCGAGAUAGCCCCAAUGAGGUCUACUGGCCGGGAAGCGAGUGAUGAAUAUAUCCUGGUUGAGGUAGAAAGGAGAAGGGAGGGAAUGGCUGGAGAGGCCCAAGCCAGACUGAUGGAGUCUAGGAUGGAGCUCAUGGCUUUGGCCGGGAAAGAGCAUAGGGUGCUAUCUCUGGAGGUGAGGUUAGAGAAGGCCACCUACAGGAUCCAGGACCUCCAGGCCAAACUCCGACAUGAGAGGUUGAUGGUAGAAAGUAGGGCCCAGCAGGAGGCCAGCGAUGUGGGGGAAAGGAAGACAGAGGAGCUGGUCCUCAACCCAAGUCUAGAGCUGGAGAGGAGGCUGAGGAUGGAAAGGUACCAUCAGAAGAUACUUCUGGGAGACCUGCUGAUGCAGCUUAAGAUUCGCCCAGUUCUCAUACGCUACACUGAUAUGGUGAGGGAUCGAUGCAAACAGCAGGAGGAGACACUACGGGCCAAGGAGGGCAGUAUGGGUACCAGGUUCCCUUCAAAGCCUGAGAGCCUCAACCUCUCCAAACAGUGAAUCCAUCUUCUCUAGCCUGUUAUCACUCACAUAGACACCCUGCAAGAGACACUCAUCCUGGGGUACAAGUCUAGGCUGCCUCCUGCUCAUACUCCCAGGGUUGAGGGAGUCCUUCAUCCCUGGGCCUCCAGAUGGACAUUCAACCCAACAAAUGGAUUAUUGUCUGGGGGAUGCAUCCUAAUGAAUCCUGGACAAUGCUCCAGCCUCACAUUAGGCCCCUCAGAAGUGAUACCACCCAUAUUUGAUUUAGUUUCUUAGUUUAAGUCUUUCUUUUCAUUCCACCUAAUUUAGUCAACGAUGAACACACGCACGCACGCACGCACUCACACACACAC